GAUGAACGCUGGCGGCGUGCCUAACACAUGCAAGUCGAGCGAAGCGCUGUUUUCAGAAUCUUCGGAGGAAGAGGACAGUGACUGAGCGGCGGACGGGUGAGUAACGCGUGGGCAACCUGCCUCAUACAGGGGGAUAACAGUUAGAAAUGACUGCUAAUACCGCAUAAGCGCACAGGACCGCAUGGUGUAGUGUGAAAAACUCCGGUGGUAUGAGAUGGACCCGCGUCUGAUUAGGUAGUUGGUGGGGUAAAGGCCUACCAAGCCGACGAUCAGUAGCCGACCUGAGAGGGUGACCGGCCACAUUGGGACUGAGACACGGCCCAAACUCCUACGGGAGGCAGCAGUGGGGAAUAUUGCACAAUGGGGGAAACCCUGAUGCAGCGACGCCGCGUGAAGGAAGAAGUAUUUCGGUAUGUAAACUUCUAUCAGCAGGGAAGAAGAUGACGGUACCUGAGUAAGAAGCACCGG
rnacentral:rRNA from 1 species